UGUGUGUGUAGGCAGCGGCGCCAGAGGAGGAGGAGCACGAGGAUGCAGCUGCGACCGCGGCCCCAAGAGGGAGCCGCCGCUGCUCUGUGGCCUCUGGGGCCAAGGGACAGCAGUCGGGCCUGGGGGUCGCGUCGCUGAGGGGGCUGGGGCGACGGUCCCGCCAGAGGCUCGGGCCUAGUAUCCCUGGAGGGUCCGGGCCGCUGGGCGAGGGCCUGCCCCCCAUUGCUUCCCCUCGUCCCUCCACGUCGAUGGUGGUGAAGUUGGUGGCGCCAGGGAGUGGAAGGCACCAGUCUGUCUCCCCUUGCACUCAUCUGCUCUCUGGCCGCAGCUCUUGGACACCUGCGCUGCCGCCGCCUCCUCUCGCCCGCCGAGACCACCCCCGGCGGCGGGCGGGGGAGGGGCUCCCCCCUGCAGGGGCUGCGUCGAACAGGGCGACGACGGGAGACGGGACCGUAGGAGAGUAGGGGAGAAGCUAAGAGUUUGGAGUUUUCUUCAGAUGGUGCUAUGCUGAGUUGGGCAGAGAGACCAUGGCAAAGAUUCCAGAUAUAUUUUAAAGGUCGAGCUAACAAGAUUUGGUGAUGGAUUGAAUCUGGAGUGUGAAAGAAAAUCACGACUGGUUCCAAGGAUUUUAGCCUGAGCCACAAACAACAAAGUGAGUUGUGAUGCCAUCUACUGAGAAUGGAGAGACAAGGGGAGCACUAGGUUUGGUGUAGCUUGGGCUAGGAAUUAAGUAAGAGUUGUAUUGUGGAUAUGUUAAGUUUUAGAUAUUCGAGUGAUGAUGUCAGUACAAAGCUGUAUUUUUAGAGAUAGAAAUAUAUAUUUAUAAGUAAUCAGCUUAUAAAUUGUAUUUGCGGAUAUGAGACUAAAUAAAAUUACUUCAUGAAUGAGUGUAGAAUUGAGAAUAAAUCCAAGGACCAACUCUAACACAUUCCAAUGUUUAGAGUUAGAAGUAAAAGAAUCUAGUAAAGGACAUGAGAAUGAGCAACUAGUAAGGUAGGAGGAAAAUAAGAACAAUCUAUUGUUGUAAAAGCCAAGUGAAGCAAGUAUUUCCAGAAUGAAGGAGUGAUCAAUUGUCACAAAUGUUGCUGAGAGAUCAAGUAAGAUGAGGACUGAUUAAUAGCUAUAGAAUUUGACAAUAUGGAGAUUAUUGGUGACCUUAGUGAGGUAGAUUUCAUUAGAUCCCUGAAAUUAAAAGAUUGAUUGGAUUGGGUUCAAGAAAGUGACAAGCAAGGUUAUGAAGACAGGGAGAAUAGACAACUCUCUGGAGGAAUUUUCUACAAAAGGAAACAGAGAUAUGAACAGAAGCUGAAGUGUUUUUUAAUGUGUGAUAGUAGAGUAUGUUUGUAUAUUAGUGGGAAUUAUUUGAUAGGAAAAAAUAUUCAUCAUAUAGGAGCAAGAAGAAUUAAAUCCAGUGUAUAAGUGAAGGGGUUGGUUUUGGGAAGAGGAACAAUUUAUUUGUUUUAACUGGUAGAAAGGAAGAAAAUAAUGAGUACAGGUAGGAUGGGAAACUACUUUCUUUUUUCUUUUUUCUUUUUUUCAGAGAUCUCGCUUUGUCACCCAGGCAGUGGUACCAAACUGUACUCGUAAUUAUUGUAUUUUAUUUUACCACACACUCAUAGUAAGAAGGAAAAAGUCUGUUUCACUUAACCAUUUCAGUACGAGCGUUGACUAUAGUCGACAGCCACAGAUGAACCAAGCAUCGACUUUAGCCAACAGC